GGGAUAUGCGUGUUAAAUCUUCAAUCUAGUUAUCAGAUAUAUUUAAAAUGGGAAAUGUCUUCAAUUAUAUUUGUGUCUUAAAAACUGAAAAUAAGAAAGUUUACAAUGGAAAUAUUUCUCAACAAGCAUUUAUGAUGCUAGAGAGUUAGGAAAGUUGAUUGAUAAUAUAAGUGUAUAGAUACUAAUGAAUUAAGUUAAAAAGAUGAGAGAAAGAGGGAUAACAGAUCUCACUCUAUUAAACCCUGGUCACCCAGAAAGAGUUCACGCAGUGCUGUGAGGCGGCAUUCACCAGAAAGAGGCUGUGGUCGAGAGAGGUGGUCCCAAAGGUCACAGGGAUUGAGACAGGGACAGGAGGGCCUUGCUUGAGCCACAAUGUUGUUCCACCCCCAUAGACGCUCCCCAGCAAGAAAGUCCUCGUCACCUCGAAGACAGAGAGAUAUCAGCAAUGACUGGGAGGGAGUGAGAUCACCGCCCCAGCCUGCUGGGCUGCCUGCCAGAUGAGACUUGCAGUUGGAUUAGCUAUUGAUGGAUUCCAGCAGUUCCUGUAGUGAUGGUGACAACUCGGAAAACGCUGGCAAACGACCACCUCAUACAAGAAAGCUGAUGAUGGCUGACAGUGAGGACGAGCAUGAUUCUGGGGGGCAAGCCAGGUGUGCAGCAGUAGGAUGAGCCAGAGAAGUCAGACUCGUCAAGUUUCUCCACCUCCUGUGCGGACAAGGGACCCCCAUCAAGUAGAUUCUUUAGUGUUAGAAAACAGUCACAUGUGUUUAGGUGGGCUUGAAUGUUUUAAAAUUAAGAUUUUAUUGGAAAUCGAUUUUGCUCAUUUUACUUUUUGGAUAUUCUCUAUGACAUGUGUAUAAGCUCGGUUGUUUUUGGAUAAUUGCCAGUAUGAUGAUAAUUGUGUUCAUACCAAAACAAUACAAAUGUCGGUACAUUUUAAUAUCAGUUCAUCUUUCACGAAUGUAAUCGAUGUGUGAUGCUAAGUUAGACACGAGACUUAAUCAUACAAAUGUGUGUUUGUUUUUUAAUAAAUAGCAUAAGCCGGA